UUAUUUUAUUUUAUUUUAUUUUGGUGGUGGUGGUGGGGUUAUUCCUAGUGAAAGCUAUGAUUAUUGUGCAGUGGGAGGGGCCCUUUAGUAUCUCGAUGGACAUCACGCUGUAUCACAAUCAGGCCUUGGAUCAUGCAGACACAAAGCAAUGAUUACAUUUCAUUUGUGAUACUAUUAAGGAUAUUUUUCCUGGCUGCAAUAACUCAAAAUAUUUUACUUAUUUCCCACUUCAUGCACAUUGAUUUUUUUGGGUAAUGGUAGCAGAAAAUAUGUGAUUACCAGAGGAACGUCGAUCAAGGCAUUGAGGAGUUAGGAAGGAAUCAUAUGAAGAGAAUACAUGGAGGGAUAUUCUUAAAUGGAGAGGAGAUAUUUCUAUUGAGUCAAAAAGAAAGCAGAAAAAAAGGAAAAUUUGCACACGAAGACGCUGUGUAGACGAAGAUGAUGUGAGGACACAGGAAGAAGAUGGCCCUGAAGCCAUGGAGAAAAGAAGUCUGGAAGAGACUUCCCUCACAGCCCUCAGAGGGAGUCAACCCUGUCAACACCGUGAUUUCAAACUUCUAGUCUACGGAAGUGUGAGACAAUACAUUUCUUUUGUUUAAGCCGCUGAUUUUGUAGUACUUUGUUAUGGUAGCCCUAGUGAACGGAUACAAUUAUGUUUGUUUGUUUUUUUAAAAAUUGCUUUCUGUUUGUGCCAUAUGUAGAAUUCUCAUUUUCAACUUCAACUGUUUUGGACUGGUGAAUAAAUUUUAACUUGUCAUAGCAAUUUUCACCCAAAGCACAAUUUAUAAAGCAUGUAUUGCCAGGUACACAAGAGGUAUUUAAUUUUUCUUUAGAUGUAUUUUUAAAAGGCUUUACAUACUCCUGCAGGAUUGCCAUGAACAUAAAUAAUGCCUGUAAUUGUCUGACACAUAGAAAUGCUCUAUAAAUAUUACGUAAUAUUAUUUUUAAACGUGCUGUCCACAACAGUCUUCUGAGUGUUGUAUGUGGUAAAAGAGACUUUAGAGCAACAGGCUGUAAGACAGAGGAGCCAAAAGAGAGGCUUACAUAUUCCUCAAGCUGUCCACUCUCCUAAAAAUACAAUGUAUCUUGAAUAAUUUAUCUGAAUAAAAACAACACGUGGCUUAAGAAAAGGUUUUGGGUAAUAACUUGUUGAUGUAAAAGACACAUACAGUGGAAAAUAUUCACAAAGCACUAACGUACAAUCUGUGAUUCAGGUCUGUUUCCCUGCCCGCCCCCUGCCCCCAAACCCCCAGUUCUUCUAAAGGAGCACUAGGCUUAUAACCUCUAAUCUUGUGUGAAGCCUUGCUCUCCAGAGUUUCUGUUUACUUCCAUUAUUCCAUGUAGAGCCAUAUAUCUACGGAUUUUAUGCCUACUUGGACACCAGAUAUUCUUGCCUCUCC
rnacentral:lncRNA from 1 species